UACAGAGGGUGCGAGCGUUAAUCGGAAUUACUGGGCGUAAAGCGCGCGUAGGCGGCUCGGAAAGUCGGUCGUGAAAUGCCGGGGCUCAACCCCGGGACUGCGUCCGAUACUUCCGGGCUGGAGGUAGGUAGGGGGAGAUCGGAAUUCCUGGUGUAGCGGUGAAAUGCGCAGAUAUCAGGAGGAACACCGGUGGGCGAAGGCGGAUCUCUGGGCCUUACCUGACGCUGGAGGCGCGAAAGCCUAGGGGAGCGAACAGG
rnacentral:rRNA from 1 species